rnacentral:rRNA from 1 species
AUCAUGGCUCAGAUUGAACGCUGGCGGCAGGCCUAACACAUGCAAGUCGAACGGUAACAGAAAGCAGCUUGCUGCUUUGCUGACGAGUGGCGGACGGGUGAGUACUGUCUGGGAAACUGCCCGAUGGAGGGGGAUAACUACUGGAAACGGUAGCUAAUACCGCAUAACGUUGCAGGACCAAAGAGGGGAACCUUCGGGUCUCUUGCCAUCGGAUGUGCCCAGAAGGGAUUAGCUAGUAGGUGGGGUAACGG